UUGAAUCUUGUUUCUUUGCUGAUUUCUGGCGGCGGGUGAGGAUGUCUGGUGAAUAGCCCGAUGGAGGGGGACCCUACUGGAAACGGUAGCUUGACCACAUAACGUCUUCGGACCAAAGAGGGGGACCUUCUGGCCUCUUGCCAUCAGAUGUGCCCAGAUGGGAUUAGCUAGUAGGUGGGGUAACGGCUCACCUAGGCGACGAUCCCAGGCUGGCCUGAAAGGUGAACCAUCCACACUGGAACUGAGACACGGUCCACAUUCCUACGGGAGGCAGCAGUG
rnacentral:rRNA from 1 species